UACGGAGGGGGCUAGCGUUGUUCGGAAUUACUGGGCGUAAAGCGCACGUAGGCGGCUUUGCAAGUUAGAGGUGAAAGCCCGGGGCUCAACUCCGGAAUUGCCUUUAAAACUGCAUCGCUAGAAUUGUGGAGAGGUAAGUGGAAUUCCGAGUGUAGAGGUGAAAUUCGUAGAUAUUCGGAAGAACACCAGUGGCGAAGACGACUUACUGGACACAUAUUGACGCUGAGGUGCGAAAGCGUGGGGAGCAAACAGG
rnacentral:rRNA from 1 species